GACCGCUCCGGUGGCCUAAUAGUCAGAGCGUCCGCCUCAAAUGCGGGAGAUAGUGGGUUCGAUCCCAGGCCGAGUCA